rnacentral:rRNA from 1 species
AUUGAACGCUGGCGGCAGGCCUAACACAUGCAAGUCGAGCGAGCGGCGGACGGGUGAGUAAUGUAUGGGAAACUGCCCGAUGGAGGGGGAUAACUACUGGAAACGGUAGCUAAUACCGCAUACCAUCGGAUGUGCCCAGAUGGGAUUAGCUAGUAGGUGGGGUAACGGCUCACCUAGGCGACGAUCCCUAGCUGGUCUGAGAGGAUGACCAGCCACACUGGAACUGAGACACGGUCCAGACUCCUACGGGAGGCAGCAGUGGGGAAUAUUGCACAAUGGGCGCAAGCCUGAUGCAGCCAUGCCGCGUGUAUGAAGAAGGCCUUCGGGUUGUAAAGUACUUUCAGCGGGGAGGCGUUACUCGCAGAAGAAGCACCGGCUAACUCCGUGCCAGCAGCCGCGGUAAUUC